GACGAACGCUGGCGGCGUGCUUAACACUUGCAAGUCGAACGGAAAGGCCUGCUAUCCCUUGUGGAUUGCGGGUACUCGAGUGGCGAACGGGUGAGUAACACGUGAGUGAUCUGCCCCCAACUUGGGUAUAAGCCUGGGAAACUGGGUCUAAUUCCCGAUAGGACUGCAGGGUGGUGCCUGUGGUGGAAAACGAUUUUCUAGUGGUUGUGGAUGAGCUCGCGGCCUAUCAGCUUGUUGGUGGGGUAAUGGCCUACCAAGGCGGCGACGGGUAGCCGGCGUGAGAGGGUGGACGGCCACAUUGGGACUGAGAUACGGCCCAGACUCCUACGGGAGGCAGCAGUGGGGAAUAUUGCACAAUGGGCGGAAGCCUGAUGCAGCGACGCCGCGUGGGGGAUGACGGCCUUCGGGUUGUAAACUCCUUGCGACCGCGAGGAAGCCACCUGGUUGGAAGGGUGGUGACGGUAGUGGUAGAAGAAGCACCGGCUAACUACGUG
rnacentral:rRNA from 1 species